UGCAAGUCGAGGGGCAGCAUGGUCUUAGCUUGCUAAGGCCGAUGGCGACCGGCGCACGGGUGAGUAACACGUAUCCAACCUGCCGUCUACUCUUGGACAGCCUUCUGAAAGGAAGAUUAAUACAAGAUGGCAUCAUGAGUUCACAUGUUCACAUGAUUAAAGGUAUUCCGGUAGACGAUGGGGAUGCGUUCCAUUAGAUAGUAGGCGGGGUAACGGCCCACCUAGUCUUCGAUGGAUAGGGGUUCUGAGAGGAAGGUCCCCCACAUUGGAACUGAGACACGGUCCAAACUCCUACGGGAGGCAGCAGUGAGGAAUAUUGGUCAAUGGGCGCAGGCCUGAACCAGCCAAGUAGCGUGAAGGAUGACUGCCCUAUGGGUUGUAAACUUCUUUUAUAAAGGAAUAAAGUCGGGUAUGUAUACCCGUUUGCAUGUACUUUAUGAAUAAGGAUCGGCUAACUCCGUGCCAGCAGCCGCGGUAAUACGGAGGAUCCGAGCGUUAUCCGGAUUUAUUGGGUUUAAAGGGAGCGUAGAUGGAUGUUUAAGUCAGUUGUGAAAGUUUGCGGCUCAACCGUAAAAUUGCAGUUGAUACUGGAUAUCUUGAGUGCAGUUGAGGCAGGCGGAAUUCGUG
rnacentral:rRNA from 1 species